rnacentral:tRNA from 2 species
GUGGGUGUAGCUCAGCUGGUAGAGCGUCGGCUUGUGGUGCCGAAUGUCGCGGGUUCGAGUCCCGUCAUCCACCCCA